rnacentral:rRNA from 1 species
UACAGAGGGUGCAAGCGUUGUUCGGAUUUACUGGGCGUAAAGCGCGUGUAGGCGGUGGCGCAAGUCGGAUGUGAAAUCCCUCGGCUUAACCGAGGACGUGCAUCCGAUACUGCAUCACUUGAGUGCCGGAGGGGAUGGCGGAAUUCCCGGUGUAGAGGUGAAAUUCGUAGAUAUCGGGAGGAACACCGGUGGCGAAGGCGGCAUCCUGGACCAACACUGACACUGAGGAGCGAAAGCCAGGGGAGCAAACGGG